GAUGAAGAACGCAGCGGAAUGCGAUAAGUAAUGUGAAUUGCAGAAUUCAGUGAAUCAUCGAAUCUUUGAACGCACAUUGCGCCCAUUAGUAUUCUAGUGGGCAUGCCUGUUCGAGCGUCAUUUCAACCCUUAAGCCUCUGUUGCUUAGCGUUGGGAGCCUACCUACCCGGUAGAUCCUCAAAGUUAGCUGGCAGGGUCGAGGUUCGCCCUAAGCGUAGUAGUUCUUUCUCGCUUCUGCGGCUGCCUAGGCCAUCGCCACAAGCCUUUUAAACUUCAAUGGUUGACCUCGGAUCAGGUAGGAAUACCCGCUGAACUUAAGCAUAUCAAUAAGCGGAGGA
rnacentral:misc_RNA from 1 species